rnacentral:lncRNA from 1 species
GCUGGAGUCGCACCACACCAUCUAAGCCGAUCCCCAUUGGCUACUUCAAAUGGAUCAGGGGCGGCUACAGUGGCCAAAUAAGGAACAGAUGUGGGUUUUACAGGUUGGGCUGCAGAUUGGGAACAGAUGUGGGUUUUACAGGUUGGGCUGCAGAUUGGGAACAGAUGUGGGUUUUACAGAUUGGGCUGCAGAUUGGGAACAGAUGUGGGUUACAGAUUGGGUUAUAGAUUGGGAGUGGCUG